rnacentral:misc_RNA from 1 species
GAUGAAGAACGUAGCGAAAUGCGAUAAGUAAUGCGAAUUGCAGAAUUUCCGUGAGUCAUCGAAUCUUUGAACGCACAUUGCGCCCAUUAGUAUUCUAGUGGGCAUGCCUGUUCGAGCGUCAUUUCAACCCUUAAGCCCCUGUUGCUUAGCGUUGGGAGGCCACGGCCUAGUGCCGUACCUCCUCAAAUUGAGUGGCGGAGUCGGUACACACUCUAGACGUAGUAGAUUUCUUCUCGCCUAGGAGUGGUGCCGGUCCCUUGCCGUUAAACCCCCAAUUUCUCAAGGUUGACCUCGGAUCAGGUAGGAAUACCCGCUGAACUUAAGCAUAUCAAUAAGCGGAGGA